CAACUUGUCUAUGAGCAAAGCACAUUUCUCACACUAGAAUAUUAUUGAAAAACAUAUCAAUUAUAAUUGGAAUUUAUCUGAGCCUUUUGUACAGAAAUUGUCAAAUGCACUCCUCCUAAAUUCUGACAAUGCAUCCCCGACCUAGCUAGUAGGACAUGCUAUGGAAAGUAGUUUUCAGAACACUUUGUAAUAGGAACUGUUUCAUAUGUUCAGGGUUGUAGAUGACUUCACUGAAAUAUUGUGUUUUUGUCUUUCAGAUAUGAAAGGUGACUUGCCCUGAUAGUGCUGCCUCUACUUCUUUUGGGAUUUCCCCACACAAAAAUCUCCAGGGAUUACAGAGAACGGUCAGAAAAAGAGAAAAUAUCCAGUAUGCAGAAGAGCAUCUCUGAACGCACAACAAGCCGAGCCUUGAAGUUGAUGGGAUACAACAGCAGAAGACCACAAGAAAAAGAAAGUCAUAUACAAUGUACUUCUGUUCAAUUGCUAGCUUUUAGCUGGACAUUCCUAAUAAAUUUUUUUAAUGCUUAUGAAGUGCUUUUUUUUUUUAUUAUUGUGAUGUUAAAGGAUGGGGAGGGAAUGUGGAUGGUUUACAUUUAAUUGUGAAUGUGUGGAAGAAUUACAUCAAUAAAUGUUUAUUAAUUUA